AGCCUUUCCGCUGCUCCCCGACCUGCUCUUUGGGGAAAGCCACCACCAGCCCCAAAGAGCAGGUCAGGGAGCAGCAGAAAGGCU
rnacentral:miRNA from 1 species